UGUGUAGGCGGUUGCUUAAGUUUGGUGUGAAAUCUCCCGGCUUAACUGGGAGGGUGCGCCGAAUACUGAGUGACUCGAGUGCGGGAGAGGAAAGUGGAAUUCCUGGUGUAGCGGUGAAAUGCGUAGAUAUCAGGAGGAACACCGGUGGUGUAGACGGCUUUCUGGACCGUAACUGACGCUGAGACACGAAAGCGUGGGUAGCAAACAGGAUUAGAUACCCUGGUAGUCCACGCCCUAAACGAUGCAUAUUUGGUGUGGGUCAUUCAGUUGAUCCGUGCCGGAGCUAACGCGUUAAAUAUGCCGCCUGGGGAGUACAGUCGCAAGGCUGAA
rnacentral:rRNA from 1 species